rnacentral:lncRNA from 1 species
CCUCCGACCCACCUAUGGUAUAGACUGGUGGAAGCCUCUUCAUAGGUCUCUGGAUCCUCCCUGCAUCCUAUCACCACCAUAGCAUCUAACCUUGAUCCAUACACCUCGAGACCCUCUCCUGGUGCCUGCUCACUACUGCCCAAAUGACUGGGAGACACCACUUCCCUCGGCACCUUCUUGCCUAGAGCUCGUGCCAUGGUUAUAGUCUUCAUCAUCACCCAUGAAGGAAUCUCUUUCUGGUGCUCCUCUAUGUGUGGAUGCAUCUGUCCCCAGUGCUCCACCUCCUUGUGAUCCAGCGAUCCAGCAAUAGACAGAUCUGAUAAACACACUAUUAGCUAUCCAAUUUAUGCCGACUGAACCUCCCACUGAUCCUUCAUAGCUGAAGCAAUCACCUCGGCCUCUCCAAACACAACAGAUCCCUCCAUCUGGUAUAGACAACUCCUCAACCUCCUCUCUCUCAUCAC